rnacentral:rRNA from 1 species
UGGCGAACGGGUGAGAUAACACGUGAGUAACCUGCCCUUGACUCUGGGAUAAGCCUGGGAAACUGGGUCUAAUACCGGAUACGACCAUUGCCCGCAUGGGUUGGUGGUGGAAAGCUUUUGUGGUUUUGGAUGGACUCGCGGCCUAUCAGCUUGUUGGUGAGGUAAUGGCUCACCAAGGCGACGACGGGUAGCCGGCCUGAGAGGGUGACCGGCCACACUGGGACUGAGACACGGCCCAGACUCCUACGGGAGGCAGCAGUGGGGAAUAUUGCACAAUGGGCGAAAGCCUGAUGCAGCGACGCCGCGUGAGGGAUGACGGCCUUCGGGUUGUAAACCUCUUUCAGUAGGGAAGAAGCGAAAGUGACGGUACCUGCAGAAGAAGCGCCGGCUAACUACGUGCCAGCAGCCGCGGUAAUACGUAGGGCGCAAGCGUUAUCCGGAAUUAUUGGGCGUAAAGAGCUCGUAGGCGGUUUGUCGCGUCUGCUGUGAAAGGCCAGGGCUCAACCCUGGUUCUGCAGUGGGUACGGGCAGACUUGAGUGAUGUAGGGGAGACUGGAAUUCCUGGUGUAGCGGUGAAAUGCGCAGAUAUCAGGAGGAACACCGAUGGCGAAGGCAGGUCUCUGGGCAUUAACUGACGCUGAGGAGCGAAAGCAUGGGGAGC